GGGAUUGAACUCGGGUCCUUACACUUGCGAGGCAGGCGCCGAACCACUGAGCUAAAUCCCUGGCCCUCAUACUGGAGAUCGAACUCAGGACCUUGCGCUUACAGCAAAAAUGUCUGAUGUGAAGAUCUGAGUAUGUGAAAUGAAGCCAGUUUUAGUGAAUUUGUUUUGCUGAAAUGAGAGCAACCUGCAUGUACCUAAGUCACACACAGGAAGCAGAAGAACUGAGGGUCAGGGGACACAUGACCCCACAAUGACUGAAAAGGGAAAAGAGGCAGCUAUUGAGAAGAUGAGAGAAACAUGUAUGCAAAAUGUAUGAAAUCAACUAUGCAUUUUGUGAAGCGUAAGUCACAGUACUGUGUUUUGGACCUGUAGUCACAAAGACUGAGAUAGAAAAUAAAAACCUCCGC
ensembl:lncRNA